GUAAGAACUUCCUAACUGGAAAAGCCCUGAUAUCAUGGCAUUGAAUUUGGUCACAGACAUUGUGUUUUCAAAUAAAAGGUAGGGUACAAUAAAAGGGAAUGACUGUGGAGCUGGAAGAAUAUUGAGGAUGGACAUGAGUCCAGGCACAUAGCACACGACCCAAGCUGGUAACUGAGCUUCUGGGAGGAACAUGGGAUAUUGAGGAUGGACAUAAGUCCAGGCACAUAGCACACGACCCAAGCUGGUAACUGAGCUUCUGGGAGGAACAUGGUGAGUGGGAGAAUGAUACAAAAGAGAGUAAAUGAAUAAAAUGGUAGGAUGAGCUUCCGCAAGAGGAAAA
rnacentral:lncRNA from 1 species